rnacentral:rRNA from 1 species
AUGAGGACAGAACCAGUUCAUUGGGCUAGGGCAUUUUUUUCCACAGGAGCUAAAUGUGAAUCUGUAGACAAUAAUCUUUGUGAGCCAUUUAACAAUGCCAUCAUAGAAUCAAGGUUCUACCCAAUUAUUUCACAGCAAGAGAUGAUAAGAAAGAAGAUGCUUGUUAGGGUGCAAGAGUAGAGAGCCAAAUCAGCAACAUGGAAGGGCAAAACUUGCCCAAAUGUUGGGAUUUGA